UUGACCUCGGAUCAGGUAGGAAUACCCGCUGAACUUAAGCAUAUCAAUAAGCGGAGGAAAAGAAACCAACAGGGAUUGCCCUAGUAACGGCGAGUGAAGCGGCAACAGCUCAAAUUUGAAAUCUGGCUCUCGGGCCCGAGUUGUAAUUUGUAGAGGAUACUUUUGAUGCGGUGCCUUCCGAGUUCCCUGGAACGGGACGCCAUAGAGGGUGAGAGCCCCGUCUGGUUGGAUGCCAAAUCUCUGUAAAGUUCCUUCAACGAGUCGAGUAGUUUGGGAAUGCUGCUCUAAAUGGGAGGUAUAUGUCUUCUAAAGCUAAAUACCGGCCAGAGACCGAUAGCGCACAAGUAGAGUGAUCGAAAGAUGAAAAGCACUUUGAAAAGAGAGUUAAAAAGUACGUGAAAUUGUUGAAAGGGAAGCGUUUAUGACCAGACUUGGGCUUGGUUAAUCAUCUGGGGUUCUCCCCAGUGCACUUUUCCAGUCCAGGCCAGCAUCAGUUUUCCCCGGGGGAUAAAGGCGGCGGGAAUGUGGCUCUCUUCGGGGAGUGUUAUAGCCCACCGUGUAAUACCCUGGGGGGGA
rnacentral:rRNA from 2 species